GGGAGGCAGCAGUGGGGAAUAUUGCGCAAUGGGCGAAAGCCUGACGCAGCGACGCCGCGUGAGGGAUGACGGCCUUCGGGUUGUAAACCUCUUUCAGCAGGGACGAAGCGAAAGUGACGGUACCUGCAGAAGAAGCACCGGCCAACUACGUGCCAGCAGCCGCGGUAAUACGUAGGGUGCAAGCGUUGUCCGGAAUUAUUGGGCGUAAAGAGCUCGUAGGCGGUCUGUCGCGUCGGCUGUGAAAACCCGGGGCUCAACCCCGGGCCUGCAGUCGAUACGGGCAGACUAGAGUGCGGUAGGGGAGACUGGAAUUCCUGGUGUAGCGGUGAAAUGCGCAGAUAUCAGGAGGAACACCGGUGGCGAAGGCGGGUCUCUGGGCCGUAACUGACGCUGAGGAGCGAAAGCGUGGGGAGCGAACAGGAUUAGAUACCCCGGUAGU
rnacentral:rRNA from 1 species